rnacentral:rRNA from 1 species
UCGGAUCGCAGGCUGCAACCCGCCUGCGUGAAGUUGGAAUCGCUAGUAAUCGCGGAUCAGCAUGCCGCGGUGAAUACGUUCCCGGGCCUUGUACACACCGCCCGUCACACCAUGAGAGUCGGGAACACCCGAAGUCCGUAGCCUAACCGCAAGGGGGCGCGGCCGAAGGUGGGUUCGAUAAUUGGGUGAAGUCGUAACAAGGUAAC